GAUGAAGAACGCAGCGAAAUGCGAUAAGUAAUGUGAAUUGCAGAAUUCAGUGAAUCAUCGAAUCUUUGAACGCACAUUGCGCCCCCUGGUAUUCCGGGGGGCAUGCCUGUCCGAGCGUCAUUACAACCCUCAAGCUCAGCUUGGUGUUGGGCCCCGCCGCCCCGGCGGGCCCUAAAGUCAGUGGCGGUGCCGUCCGGCUCCGAGCGUAGUAAUUCUUCUCGCUCUGGAGGUCCGGUCGUGUGCUCGCCAGCAACCCCCAAUUUUUUUCAGGUUGACCUCGGAUCAGGUAGGGAUACCCGCUGAACUUAAGCAUAUCAAUAAGCGGAGG
rnacentral:misc_RNA from 1 species